UACAGAGGGUGCGAGCGUUGUCCGGAAUCACUGGGCGUAAAGGGCGCGUAGGCGGCUUGAUAAGCGUGCGGUGAAAGCCCGGGGCUCAACCCCGGGUCGGCCGUGCGAACUGCUGGGCUGGAGCACUGUAGAGGCAGGUGGAAUUCCGGGUGUAGCGGUGGAAUGCGUAGAGAUCCGGAAGAACACCGGUGGCGAAGGCGGCCUGCUGGGCAGUAGCUGACGCUGAGGCGCGACAGCGUGGGGAGCAAACAGG
rnacentral:rRNA from 1 species